rnacentral:lncRNA from 1 species
UCUCCCACGUCUGUCCCCUCCUCCUUCUAACACCCACCAUACUAUAUCCCUCUUUGGAAGCACCUAUUUUCUAAGAAAAUCUUGAGGAAUUUUUUGGAGGCAUUACGUCUUUUUUGUUUUGAAACUUUUGGAUUGUAAGGAAAACCAGCUGCAGAGCUAGCCAGAGGCCCCAGCUCUGCUCCAUCAGCAGAAGGACAGCUGUCUUUGAGGGCGGGACGAGGACCCCCACCUCGCAGGGGUCAUGGCAGACUGCUUUGUGACAAGGCCGUUGGGGGACAAAUGGACCUGACGUUCUCCAGAAACCAGGCUUCAGUCUUUGAGCUGCACUCCUCUUCCUUCAAAAUCGUGGCAAGGAGACGCCUAUUCCCCCGGUGUACUCAUGGACCAGCGAGAGCCACUGACAGAUGCAUCACUGGAUCCUAACUAAACACUUUGUUCCAUCUCCCUGUGACCAGAGUAUUGUACCACAAUCCCAGUUGUUUGCAAUAAAUGGCUUGUCUUGAUUUUCCAGAUUAUAGCUAGAAGAUUGCCUCAAACGAUGAAUUGUAGAAUGGAGCAGGAUGUCUGUGUGUCUGCGUCUUCACCCGGGUUUUUCAGGCCACUGUGUCUGUGAACUUAGCUCUAUGAAAGCAAGAAGCCUAUGAGAAUUCCGCCAGGGGCAAGCCUGGCCUUGGCGCUUCACUGUCUUAGCGUGUGUCUGGCCCUCCCAUUCCUGGCCAAGGCCCACAGCCACCACAGAUGACCUGCUGAUGCCUCUGCUGAAAUCCGUGGCCACUGGCCAACAGCUUGACAAGAGUGUCAGCUCCCUCCCGAGACGAAAUCAGAGGAAAACGCCUCUAGUUUCUAAGAAGCACACAGGGAGCCACUUCUUUACCGCUAGCUCCUGCAGGAUCUGUGGGAUCCUGCAGGUGCUGGUUUGCCUCCUGAGCCCUGUCCUAAGGACACUCUGCACAUCGCCUCC